rnacentral:rRNA from 1 species
UACAGAGGGUGCGAGCGUUAAUCGGAAUUACUGGGCGUAAAGGGUGCGUAGGUGGUUUUGUAAGUUAGAUGUGAAAUUCCUGGGCUUAACCUGGGGACUGCGUCUGAUACUGCGAAGCUAGAGUACUGUAGAGGGAAGUGGAAUUUCCGGUGUAGCAGUGAAAUGCGUAGAUAUCGGAAGGAACAUCAGUGGCGAAGGCGACUUUCUGGACAGAUACUGACGCUGAGGCACGAAAGCGUGGGGAGCAAACAGG